CCUACGGGUGGCAGCAGUGAGGAAUAUUGGUCAAUGGACGCAAGUCUGAACCAGCCAUGCCGCGUGCAGGAAGACGGCUCUAUGAGUUGUAAACUGCUUUUGUACGAGGGUAAAUCCCGAUACGUGUAUCGGGUUGAAAGUAUCGUACGAAUAAGGAUCGGCUAACUCCGUGCCGGCCGCCGCGGUAAUACGGAGGCUUCAAGCGUUAUCCGGAUUUAUUUGGUUUAAAGGGUGCGUAGGCGGUUUGAUAAGUUCGAGGUGAAAGACCGGUGAGCAAAACCGGAACUGCCUCUAGGACUGUUGAACUAGAGAGUAGUGGAGGUAGGCGGAAUGUAGGGUGUAGCGGUGAAAUGCUUAGAGAUCAUACAGAACACCGAUUGCGAAGGCAGCUAACCAACCCAUAUCUGACGUUGAGGAACGAAAGCGUGGGUAGCAAACAGGAUUAGAUACCCUAGUAGUC
rnacentral:rRNA from 1 species